UUAUCCACCCAAAUAUGUCAAGUUAGCACGCCCAGUCUGUAUUUUCUUCUUCUUCCACAUCCCAGACUACACAUCCCAGACUACACAUCCCAGCUCACAUCUCACACUACACAUCCCAGACUACACAUCCCAGCUCACAUCCCAGACUACACAUCCCAGCUCACAUCCCAGACUACACAUCCCAGCUCACAUCCCAGACUACACAUCCCAGACUACACAUCCCAGACUACACAUCCCAGACUACACACCCCAGACUACACAUCCCAGCUCACAUCCCAGACUACACAUCCCAGACUACACAUCCCAGACUACACAUCCCAGCUCACAUCUCACACUACACAUCCCAGACUACACAUCCCAGCUCACAUCCCAGACUACACAUCCCAGACUACACAUCCCAGCUCACAUCUCACACUACACAUCCCAGACUACACAUCCCAGCUCACAUCCCAGACUACACAUCCCAGCUCACAUCCCAGACUACACAUCCCAGCUCACAUCCCAGACUACACAUCCCAGACUACACAUCCCAGACUACACAUCUCAGACUACACAUCCCAGACUACACAUCCCAGACUACACAUCCCAGACUACACAUCCCAGCUCACAUCCCAGACUACACAUCCCAGCUCACAUGCCAAGCAUGGCCACACUGUCUCUGAUAUGCCUUUGACCAGUUCACCCGUGAAGUCUGUUUUUUUUAAAAGAGUCUCACAGUAGGAGUUCUGAUCUUGGAUCAGUUUGAACUUUGGGAUCAUAAUGAACAACAUCACAUGGAGGUGGACGGGGGUCGGGGAGGACUGACCCUAGAUCAGCACUCCUAACCCAAGAUGCUUUAUGGAUAUUUUUAACACAUUAACUGUAUAUGUGUCAUGUUUCGAUAGUGUGAUCUAUGUAUUUGAAUAUACUGUAGCAGCUUUUCAUACAACAGACAAAGAACAGCGAAUAUUUAACAUUGAGCUUGUGAAUGUUUCAAAAUACCUAAUGUACACACUAUUCAUAACUGAAUUGUUUCUGUACUUUUUAAUCUACUAACACCUUCUUAAAUGUGGAGAGAAAGGAAUGUGUUUUUUAUAAGGGGGAUGGAUUUUCUUGGCUUGGGUUGGUCUUUCCACAUGUUCUGAAAUGUCAUUUAAAAUUGUUUUUGUUUUUUUCUCGAAGGUACACAGCUAGAGAAUGUUGACGGUCAGCAUUCCAUAGUUGAAUGAUGCUUGUGAACAUACCAGAGAUAGGAUAUUUAAUUUGUGCUGUGUCUGGUCGUACGUGAUGGUAUGCCGGUGUGUGGGAACAGACGAUUGGUAGACCAUGAGGCAGUUUGAUUGCAGAAGGCAUUCUUGAAAUUGGAUUGUUAUAUAAAAUUAUGUCAAUCGUUUUUUUUGGGGGGGGGGGGCAAAUUCUAAAUGUGUCGGGAUUGAACAGUUCCAUUUGUCACAAAAACAAUGAGGCAGCAUUUUAAACAUUUUAAAUGAUCUGUUAACAACCUGUGAAAUUUUGUGACACAUUAAAAGUCUAGCUACAUUAUAGUUAAUAAGGCAUGCUACAUAUAGUCUAAGAGAAAAGGUUAAAAGUUUAACUUAUGUUUAAUAUGAGGUUUUUGUUUGACUUUGUAUUUUGUUUGAGGUUCAGAAGUGGUAUCGACUAAUGUGGGAGAGAAAUAUGACUAUUUAAGUCAAUAUAUAUAAUAAGUCUAUUUUCAGAGAGCAGUGUAUAUUUCAUAGCCAAAUGAUGUAAAAGUGUAUUUAUGGUGAGUUUAUUAAGAGAACCAAGUAAGUGUUGGUAAGUGUUUUCGACCUCUUUUUUCAUGUUUAUUUGAUUAGUCAGUGCAUGCAGGUAGAGGUUGUUUUUGGUGUUAGUACCCAGUAUGAGUAUGCUAUUGUAAAAAAUAAACAACCGACCAUAAUCAAUACUGAUCCUCUGUUCACAAAUGAAUCUUGAAUUUAGUUGUGGGAAAUCUUCUAAUAGACAACAGUUUGUUUUCAUUCAAGUUCCUAAAUCUUCACAGACGAGGAUGGAAUCAAACCCAGUAGUAACACCUCCUCUACCAAAUAUCUUUCUGCUGCUAAACUUCCUGAACUUUAGUUCAUAUAAACGUCGCUUUAACCUGAACAUGAUUGUUUAAGCUUAUUAAAACCUGUUUUUCGAAACAAACAUUACUGUGUGUACGUGAGUUAUAUUGAGUUUAUAUUAUGAUUCUCAGUUUGCUGCUUGCAUUUUGUUCCCUUUGACUUUGUGAUUUGGAAUAUACAGUAGUUGAAUAUACAGUAGUUGAAUAUACAGUAGUUGAAUAUACAGUAGUUGAAUAUACAGUAGUUGAAUAUACAG
ensembl:lncRNA